AGCAGCCGCGGUAAUUCCAGCUCCAAUAGCGUAUAUUAAAGUUGUUGCAGUUAAAAAGCUCGUAGUUGAAUUUCGGGGUUAGUAGGUUGGUCAUGCCUCCGGUAUGUACUGGUCUCACUGAUUCCUCCUUCCUGAUGAGCCGUAAUGCCAUUAAUUUGGUGUUGCGGGGAAUUUGGACUGUUACUUUGAAAAGAUUAGAGUGUUUAAAGCAGGCAUUUUUGCUUGAAUACAUUAGCAUGGAAUAAUAAAAUAGGACGGCAUGGUUCUAUUUUGUUGGUUUCUAGGACCACCGUAAUGAUUAAUAGGGAUAGUUGGGGGCAUUAGUAUUCAAUUGUCAGAGGUGAAAUUCUUGGAUUUAUUGAAGACUAACUACUGCGAAAGCAAUUUGCCAAGGAUGUUUUCAUUAAUCAAGAACGAAAGUUAGGGGAUCGAAGACGAUCAGAUACCGUCGUAGUCUUAACCAUAAAUUAUGCCGACUA
rnacentral:rRNA from 1 species